rnacentral:rRNA from 1 species
GUCGAACGAAGAGCGAUGGAAGCUUGCUUCUAUCAAUCUUAGUGGCGCAUGGGUGAGUAACGCGUAAUCAACCUGCCCUUCAGAGGGGGACAACAGUUGGAAACGACUGCUAAUACCGCAUACGAUCUAAUCUCGGCAUCGAGGAUAGAUGAAAGGUGGCCUCUACAUGUAAGCUAUCACUGAAGGAGGGGAUUGCGUCUGAUUAGCUAGUUGGAGGGGUAACGGCCCACCAAGGCGAUGAUCAGUAGCCGGUCUGAGAGGAUGAACGGCCACAUUGGGACUGAGACACGGCCCAGACUCCUACGGGAGGCAGCAGUGGGGAAUCUUCCGCAAUGGACGAAAGUCUGACGGAGCAACGCCGCGUGAGUGAUGACGGCCUUCGGGUUGUAAAGCUCUGUUAAUCGGGACGAAAGGCCUUCUUGCGAAUAGUGAGAAGGAUUGACGGUACCGGAAUAGAAAGCCACGGCUAACUACGUGCCAGCAGCCGCGGUAAUACGUAGGUGGCAAGCGUUGUCCGGAUUUAUUGGGCGUAAAGCGAGCGCAGGCGGUUUCUUAAGUCUGAUGUGAAAGCCCCCGGCUCAACCGGGGAGGGUCAUUUGAAACUGGCAGGCUUGAGUCUCGUAGAGGGGGGUAGAAUUCCAGGUGUAGCGGUGAAAUGCGUAGAGAUCUGGAGGAAUACCGGUGGCGAAGGCGGCCCCCU